AGGUUGAACGCUGGCGGCAUGCUUUACACAUGCAAGUCGAACGGCAGCACGGGGGCAACCCUGGUGGCGAGUGGCGAACGGGUGAGUAAUGCAUCGGAACGUAUCCUUGAGUGGGGGAUAACGCAGCGAAAGUUGUGCUAAUACCGCAUAAGCUCUGAGGAGGAAAGCGGGGGACCGAAAGGCCUCGCGCUGAGAGCGCGGACUGUCGACUUAGUCUAGUUGGGUUGGAGGGGUAAACGGCCUUACCAAGGCGACGAUCGGUAGCU
rnacentral:rRNA from 1 species